rnacentral:tRNA from 1 species
GCCCGAAUAGCUAGCUCAGUCGGUAGAGCGUUAGGCUUUUAACCUAACGGUCCAGGGUUCGAGUCCCUGUUCGGGCG